rnacentral:tRNA from 1 species
GUGGCAUUAGUUCAGUGGUAGAGCUCCCGCUUCGUACGCGGGAAGACCUGGGUU